UCCACCCCUUCCCAGACCUCAUUUAAGGAUUGGCAGUGGGGGCGAGGGUAUUUUUCUGGAGAUCCCUGCCUAUCUGAGGCCUUCCAGAGCACCCAGCUGUCCUACGUGGGAACUGAAGGUGAAGCACUGAUGAUACGUGCAGUGGCUGCCCAUCACAAGCUAGGCCAGGUGUAAGCUGAAGUUGCCAGAUGUCCAGUGGUGGUGCCCCAGGGCUCCCAGCUGCUGACUCUCAUUGACUCUGUGCUUGAACAUGGAUAGUCCACUCGCAUCGUGCAUUCAGUGGGUAACUCUCCAGCAAAAUCUGACCUCUAGGAGCCCGAAAAACCUGUCCGCAC